rnacentral:rRNA from 1 species
AUUGAACGCUGGCGGCAGGCUUAACACAUGCAAGUCGAGCGGAGCGAGGGUGCUUGCACCUUAGCUUAGCGGCGGACGGGUGAGUAAUGCUUAGGAAUCUGCCUAUUAGUGGGGGACAACAUUCCGAAAGGGAUGCUAAUACCGCAUACGCCCUACGGGGGAAAGCAGGGGAUCUUCGGACCUUGCGCUAAUAGAUGAGCCUAAGUCGGAUUAGCUAGUUGGUGGGGUAAAGGCCUACCAAGGCGCCGAUCUGUAGCGGGUCUGAGAGGAUGAUCCGCCACACUGGGACUGGGACACGGCCCAGACUCCUACGGGAGGCAGCAGUGGGGAAUAUUGGACAAUGGGCGGAAGCCUGAUCCAGCCAUGCCGCGUGUGUGAAGAAGGCCUUUUGGUUGUAAAGCACUUUAAGCGAGGAGGAGGCUACUAGUAUUAAUACUACUGGAUAGUGGACGUUACUCGCAGAAUAAGCACCGGCUAACUCUGUGCCAGCAGCCGCAGUAAUAC